rnacentral:ncRNA from 3 species
GGGAGUAACUAUGACUCUC